rnacentral:misc_RNA from 1 species
GAUGAAGAACGCAGCGAAAUGCGAUAAGUAGUGUGAAUUGCAGAAUUCAGUGAAUCAUCGAAUCUUUGAACGCACAUUGCGCCCCUUGGUAUUCCAUGGGGCAUGCCUGUUCGAGCGUCAUUUGUACCUUCAAGCUCUGCUUGGUGUUGGGUGUUUGUCUCGCCUCUGCGUGUAGACUCGCCUUAAAACAAUUGGCAGCCGGCGUAUUGAUUUCGGAGCGCAGUACAUCUCGCGCUUUGCACUCAUAACGACGACGUCCAAAAGUACAUUUUUACACUCUUGACCUCGGAUCAGGUAGGGAUACCCGCUGAACUUAAGCAUGUCAAUAAGCGAGGA